rnacentral:rRNA from 1 species
AAGGGGAGUGAAAUAGAACCUGAAACCGUGUGCUUACAAGUAGUCAGAGCCCGUUAAUGGGUGAUGGCGUGCCUUUUGUAGAAUGAACCGGCGAGUUACGAUUUGAUGCAAGGUUAAGCAGUAAAUGUGGAGCCGUAGCGAAAGCGAGUCUGAAUAGGGCGUUUAGUAUUUGGUCGUAGACCCGAAACCAGGUGAUCUACCCUUGGUCAGGUUGAAGUUCAGGUAACACUGAAUGGAGGACCGAACCGACUUACGUUGAAAAGUGAGCGGAUGAACUGAGGGUAGCGGAGAAAUUCCAAUCGAACCUGGAGAUAGCUGGUUCUCUCCGAAAUAGCUUUAGGGCUAGCCUCAAGUGAUGAUUAUUGGAGGUAGAGCACUGUUUGGACGAGGGGCCCCUCUCGGGUUACCGAAUUCAGACAAACUCCGAAUGCCAAUUAAUUUAACUUGGGAGUCAGAACAUGGGUGAUAAGGUCCGUGUUCGAAAGGGAAACAGCCCAGACCACCAGCUAAGGUCCCAAAAUAUAUGUUAAGUGGAAAAGGAUGUGGCGUUGCCCAGACAACUAGGAUGUUGGCUUAGAAGCAGCCAUCAUUUAAAGAGUGCGUAAUAGCUCACUAGUCGAGUGACACUGCGCCGAAAAUGUACCGGGGCUAAACAUAUUACCGAAGCUGUGGAUUGUCCUUUGGACAAUGGUAGGAGAGCGUUCUAAGGGCGUUGAAGCAUGAUCGUAAGGACAUGUGGAGCGCUUAGAAGUGAGAAUGCCGGUGUGAGUAGCGAAAGACGGGUGAGAAUCCCGUCCACCGAUUGACUAAGGUUUCCAGAGGAAGGCUCGUCCGCUCUGGGUUAGUCGGGUCCUAAGCUGAGGCCGACAGGCGUAGGCGAUGGAUAACAGGUUGAUAUUCCUGUACCACCUAUAAUCGUUUUAAUCGAUGGGGGGACGCAGUAGGAUAGGCGAAGCGUGCGAUUGGAUUGCACGUCUAAGCAGUAAGGCUGAGUAUUAGGCAAAUCCGGUACUCGUUAAGGCUGAGCUGUGAUGGGGAGAAGACAUUGUGUCUUCGAGUCGUUGAUUUCACACUGCCGAGAAAAGCCUCUAGAUAGAAAAUAGGUGCCCGUACCGCAAACCGACACAGGUAGUCAAGAUGAGAAUUCUAAGGUGAGCGAGCGAACUCUCGUUAAGGAACUCGGCAAAAUGACCCCGUAACUUCGGGAGAAGGGGUGCUCUUUAGGGUUAACGCCCAGAAGAGCCGCAGUGAAUAGGCCCAAGCGACUGUUUAUCAAAAACACAGGUCUCUGCUAAACCGUAAGGUGAUGUAUAGGGGCUGACGCCUGCCCGGUGCUGGAAGGUUAAGAGGAGUGGUUAGCUUCUGCGAAGCUACGAAUCGAAGCCCCAGUAAACGGCGGCCGUAACUAUAACGGUCCUAAGGUAGCGAAAUUCCUUGUCGGGUAAGUUCCGACCCGCACGAAAGGCGUAACGAUUUGGGCACUGUCUCAACGAGAGACUCGGUGAAAUCAUAGUACCUGUGAAGAUGCAGGUUACCCGCGACAGGACGGAAAGACCCCGUGGAGCUUUACUGUAGCCUGAUAUUGAAAUUCGGCACAGCUUGUACAGGAUAGGUAGGAGCCUUUGAAACGUGAGCGCUAGCUUACGUGGAGGCGCUGGUGGG